GCUGUUCUUGUUGUUGUGGUAAUGGUUGGUGGGACUCGGCUCCUCUGUUCUAAAAAUAGACGUUGUAUUUACGGUUAACGCGGGAGGCAGUGCUUGCUCCUAGAAGACGCCUACCCACCAUCCACCCACCACUCAUCAGACGGCCACGCCCUUCCAUGCCAGUAUUCAAGAAUUUUGACCAGCGUAUUUGGAUCGGAUUAUCUCGUCUCAUCGUAUAAGGU